ACCUCCGCCUCUGCAUUCAAGUGAUUCUCCUGCCUCAGCCUCCCAAGUAGCUGGGACUACAGAUCCCCAAAGAUACUGGGAAAGCUCUGGUGGCAGAUCUCUUCUUCCAAGGAAGCCUCCUUAACUCUCCAUGAUCGCAGCAAGGGGACACAAAGUGAAGAAGGCCUUUGGGGACCCCUGUGUCUUUCCCUUCUUUGCCUGAACAGCGUUACGUUUGCUCACAUGUGUGUAUUUUUGCUUUGACAUUGGAUGUGGGGCAGGGGUUUGGGGAGCACAGUGAGGAGGUAUAUGGUGUGUGUGUGUGUGUGUGUCUGAGAGGCUGACUGAUGAUGAGCCUGGGGGCCUGGUGGCAGCUGUCCUGGUCAUCCCUGGCAUAUCCUUGGGGCAGGUGGCAGAUCUGAAGUCACAGAUACAUAGAGCAAGAAUGGGCCUUUAGUGCUUAUCUGGGUCAAUCCACAUGCUUACAUGGGGGGAAAAUUAAGGGCCAGAGAGGCCAUGCAGCAAGGAAUUCCGGAAUCCAGUCCUGGAUUCUAGAUGGGUGCCCUUCCCAUGCAUGCGAGUGGUGUGUGCGUGUGUGUGUGUGUGUGUAUGCAUGCAUGUGUGUGUUCAUGUGUGUGCUGUGUUGGAAGGGUCUGAAUGAACACAAAGGCCAGUGUGGAGUUGUUGUGGUCCAUGGCUGUGGAGGGCAUGACUCAAUUUCCUUUGAGCCAUGCCCCUGGCUAUGUAUGGGAUGGAAGGGUUGAGACUGAGUGUGUCCCUGUGAGUGACUGCGGUGCUGGGCUAAGUGGACUGUGUAUGUGUGUGUGAACGUGCAUGCAUGCGUGCGCGUGGGGCAUGUGGUCUCUUUGUUGGAUUCUGUCUUCCCCCAUUCACAGCACCUUCCUGGUCUGAGGAAGCCACCUUUCCAUCACAGAGACCUCCUGCAGCUCACUAGGACCUUCCCCUACUCCCUCCAACCUUCAAGCCCAGCUCUCACCUCUCACGACGGUUUUGCUUUGUUUUUGUAAAUGGAUUUGUAUAUUCGUUUUCUGUUUUUUUUUUUCUUUACAAGUUCCCUGCUAAAUUUUAAGUCCCCCACCCCACCCCAUUUUUUGUUUUCACAGUUUAAAGCUGGAAAAGAAUUAAAAGAAAAAUACUAUCUGAUUUUCUUGCAAGUAAAUCCACUUAUUUUAUAUUUACAUUUA